AACGUAGGACGCAAGCGUUAUCCGGAAUUACUGGGCGUAAAGCGCGUGUAGGCGGUUUUAUAAGUCACUGUUGAAAGCUCCUGGCUAAACUGGGAGAGGUGCGGUGAGACUGUAGAGCUAGAGUGUGGGAGAGGGGUGCGGAAUUCCGGGUGUAGUGGUGAAAUGCGUAGAGAUCCGGAGGAACACCAGAGGCGAAGGCGGCGCCCUGGCCUAAUACUGACACUGAGACGCGAAAGCAUGGGGAGCGAACGGG
rnacentral:rRNA from 1 species